GACGAACGCUGGCGGCGUGCCUAAUACAUGCAAGUAGAACGCUGAAGAGAGGAGCUUGCUCUUCUUGGAUGAGUUGCGAACGGGUGAGUAACGCGUAGGUAACCUGCCUUGUAGCGGGGGAUAACUAUUGGAAACGAUAGCUAAUACCGCAUAACAAUGGAUGACACAUGUCAUUUAUUUGAAAGGGGCAAUUGCUCCACUACAAGAUGGACCUGCGUUGUAUUAGCUAGUAGGUGAGGUAAUGGCUCACCUAGGCGACGAUACAUAGCCGACCCGAGAGGGUGGUCGGCCACACUGGGACUGAGACACGGCCCAGACUCCUACGGGAGGCAGCAGUAGGGAAUCUUCGGCAAUGGGGGCAACCCUGACCGAGCAACGCCGCGUGAGUGAAGAAGGUUUUCGGAUCGUAAAGCUCGGUUGUAAGUCAAGAACGGGUGUGAGAGUGGAAAGUUCACACUGUGACGGUAGCUUACCAGAAAGGGACGGCUAACUACGUG
rnacentral:rRNA from 1 species